rnacentral:rRNA from 1 species
UGGGGAAUAUUGGACAAUGGGCGCAAGCCUGACGACGCAACGCCGCGUGAAGGAUGAAGUAUUUCGGUAUGUAAACUUCGAAAGAAUAGGAAGAAUAAAUGACGGUACUAUUUAUAAGGUCCGGCUAACUACGUGCCAGCAGCCGCGGUAAUACGUAGGGACCAAGCGUUGUUCGGAUUUACUGGGCGUAAAGGGCGCGUAGGCGGCAAUUCAAGUCAUCUGUGAAAUCUCCGGGCUUAACUCGGAACGGUCAGAUGAUACUGCUUUGCUAGAGUGCAGAAGGGGCAAUCGGAAUUCUUGGUGUAGCGGUGAAAUGCGUAGAUAUCAAGAGGAACACCUGAGGUGAAGACGGGUUGCUGGGCUGACACUGACGCUGAGGCGCGAAAGCCAGGGGAGCAAACGGGAUUAGAUACCCACGUAGUCCCUGAGCGGGCUGGCAAGGCGCAU